rnacentral:lncRNA from 1 species
UUCACACCAACGUUCCAGAUGUCCCCAGAAGAGAAGGUGAAGGCUCGGCAGGAGAUUCUGGCCACCAAGGGGAAGGAGAAGAUGUUGUACCUGUCCAAGCUCCUGGUGCGUCCAUCUAUUCGAUUUGCAUAUACACCUGGGAGUGGAUUGAUGAGUAAGGGCUGGAGAUGGGGGAAUUGGCGGUUUUAGGGUUGCGUGGUCAAUACAAGUGGGCCGGGUGCAAUAUCUGCAAGCAAGGGUGGCGGGCCCUCAGUCCACCCGCCACCUGGAUCUUCGGGGGAUCGGAUCUUCUAGUUUAGUAGUAUCCGCGGUGGCUGUAUAUGCGUAUGCAUGUAACAGCUGCACCAGGGUGCUACGUGGUCGCCGUGGGAAGCAUGCAUCAUGCCUUUGCUCCUGCUGUUGUUGCUGGGUUGCGGUUGUUGCUAUGCUGCUGUUUAACUGUCGCUGCGCUACUGCUGCAGCUGCUGCUGCGCAUCUGUUGUUGUUGUUGCUGCUGCUGCUGCUUGCCUGAGUGUUGCUGAGCGGCUGCUGCAGCAGCAUAUAGUAUGUUCCUCCCGGUAUGUUUAUUUUGGUAACACCCAUGAUCCGAAAAGCGGGCGCCUUUCUUUUCCCAUCGCAUGUACCAUUGAUGAUGGUGGUUACUAUACAUGUCCACAUGCUAUACAGGAAACGUCGGGCGAGUACGUGGCGGGUGACAAGUUGUCGUAUGGUGACAUCGUGAUCUUCGCGACACUGUCCAACCUUGUCAGCGGCUUCAUGGACGGUAGGAAUCUGGAGUGAUUCACAAAACGCAUAGACACAUCCAUGGCUUAGUGUAGGACAUGGCGCUCUGGCGUCUUAUCGGUGCAAUGUCACCUUUGGAGUUGCUUACCGGCACAUUACAGCCACUACCACCUAGAUUCCAGGUCACAGCCUCCAUGCGCUUUCAUUGCUCCAGGAAUGGCCCACGGGGUGCAUUCCAGAGGCCGGCCAGGCAAACCUGCUGGGGCCAUCCCAAUGAAUUACUCGCUCGCUGGCAUGCCAAUGUGAAGGUGGGGUUGGGCGGACUGCUUCAGGUCAGCCAGUUACCACCACACUAGCCAAACCACACAAUGACCGCACCCGUUGGAAAGCUGCUCUACCGUUGUGGGGUUGGGCGGCCGGGAAACCUAUUUGCAUGCAGGUG